AGGACGAACGCUGGCGGCGUGCUUAACACAUGCAAGUCGAGCGGAAAGGCCCUUCGGGGUACUCGAGCGGCGAACGGGUGAGUAACACGUGAGUAAUCUGCCCCUAGCUCUGGGAUAGCUCCGGGAAACCGGGAUUAAUACCGGAUACGACCACCUUAGACAUCUUUUGUGGUGGAAAGAAUUUCGGCUAGGGAUGAGCUCGCGGCCUAUCAGCUUGUUGGUGGGGUAACGCCUACCAAGGCGACGACGGGUAGCCGGCCUGAGAGGGCGACCGGCCACACUGGGACUGAGACACGGCCCAGACUCCUACGGGAGGCAGCAGUGGGGAUAUUGCGCAAUGGGCGAAAGCCUGACGCAGCGACGCCGCGUGGGGGAUGAAGGCCUUCGGGUUGUAAACCCCUUUCAGCAGGGACGAAGCGAAAGUGACGGUACUGCAGAAGAAGCGCCGGCUAACUACGUGCCAGCAGCCGC
rnacentral:rRNA from 1 species